rnacentral:rRNA from 1 species
GAUGAACGCUGGCGGCGUGCUUAACACAUGCAAGUCGAACGAUGAAAGCGGGAGCUUGCUCCUGCUGGAUUAGUGGCGAACGGGUGAGUAACACGUGAGCAAUCUGCCCCGAACUCUGGGAUAAGCGUUGGAAACGACGUCUAAUACCGGAUACGACGCGCGAAGGCAUCUUCUGCGCGUGGAAAGAACUUCGGUUCGGGAUGAGCUCGCGGCCUAUCAGCUAGUUGGUGAGGUAACGGCCCACCAAGGCGACGACGGGUAGCCGGCCUGAGAGGGUGACCGGCCACACUGGGACUGAGACACGGCCCAGACUCCUACGGGAGGCAGCAGUGGGGAAUAUUGCACAAUGGGCGCAAGCCCGAUGCAGCAACGCCGCGUGGGGGACGACGGCCUUCGGGUUGUAAACCUCUUUUAGUAGGGAGGAAGCGAAAGUGAUGGUACCUGCAGAAAAAGCACCGGCUAACUACGUGCCAGCCGCCGCUGUAAAAC